UGUCUGUGGCCACCCUGAACGCACCCGAUCUCGUCUCAUCUCAGAAGCUAAGCAGGGUCAGGCUUGGUUAAUACCUGGAUGAGAGAAAGUGGAACCUGUCUCUAAGAUGU
rnacentral:rRNA from 1 species